UGCUUAGGAAUCUACCAAGUAGUGGGGGAUAGCCAUUGGAAACGAUGAUUAAUACCGCAUAUAUCCUACGGGGGAAAGCAGGGGAUCUUCGGACCUUGCGCUAUUUGAUGAGCCUGAGUGAGAUUAGCUAGUUGGUGGGGUAAAGGCCUACCAAGGCGACGAUCUCUAGCUGGUCUGAGAGGAUGAUCAGCCACACUGGGACUGAGACACGGCCCAGACUCCUACGGGAGGCAGCAGUGGGGAAUAUUGCACAAUGGGCGAAAGCCUGACGGAGCGACGCUGCGUGAAGGAUGACGGCCU
rnacentral:rRNA from 1 species